AGCGCGCUUGGAAUAAAAAUCCUCUUGCUGUUUGCAUCAAGACUGCUUCUCGUGAGUGAUUUGAGGUGUCGCCUCUUCUGAGUCCAGACAAGGGGGAUUUUCCUUCUACUGGCCUUUUCACACCACCUGCUACCUUUCCCCAUCCAUGCUAGUUGCUGCCAGUCAGCCCUGGUAUGUUCCCCCAAACCUGGUCUUUUGGUUGGCAACAAAUUAAUCACAGUUGGCACAUCAGAUAGCAUGGGUGUUACUCCUGUCAUAGGUGAUCUGCGGACCCCUUCCUAGAAUUAAGUUGUCUUGUUCUGAGACAGUAGGUGUGGCCAUUCAGGUACUACAGUAACAGCCCAGGUUUGUGGGUGCCAGGACCUGCCAGCUCCCAUGCCAAGUGUUAUCUAUCCGUCAGGGCCUGCUGUGAGUGCCUGUUCACGACGUUGCUCUUUCAGGUGGAUCUGUGUACACAGGCUCCGUGGAGGUUCCUCUUCAUGUCAGCCAGGCGCUAGACCCUGGGGCCUCAGGUAAGGUUUUUGGACCUUUCUUUGGAAUUGUGUGUGUAUUUUCUAAAGUCACAUUCAUGUUCCUUUGGGCGUGGGUGAUCAUGUGAAGGGAAGUGAGGUGACAGUGGCGUCCUGCUGUAGGGCAGUCCCUCUCUAGAAACCUGUUUGGAUGAAGGGCUCUCUGGGGCAUCUCCUGGGUCCUGGUGUGUCAGGCUGGGUACUGCUGUGAUGGAGGCUGCGUGGCUUUAGGCACCGGUGACUCUGGGCCCACCUCUGAACACAUCUAGCUCUGCAACCCUGUCUCACACUCCACUGAAAAUCAAAGCUGGAAUAGCAGUGAAGAGCUUUUGUUUUGUUUUUUUUGGCUACACCUUCAGCAUGCAGAAGUUCCUGGGUGACAGUGCUGCAUCUUUACCUACCAGGCCACCAGGAAGCUCCAGCAGCGAAGGUUUUAAUAAGAUUUUCAUGAUGGAGUCAUGAUCACGUGACCACACGAUCCUGGUCUUUUCCAGCCCAGUGUCUAGGUUUUUAUGCCGAAGCGUCUUGACUCCCCCCUGGGCAGGGAGGUGACGAGGCGUCUGCAGGAUACAACCGAAGCUGUGCUUGGCUGGUCUGCUCUCCCUGGCUCAGGCCAUUCCCCAGGCCCCUGGCGCCAGCCUCCUGUCCACCCUGGCUCUUUGCAUCCUCUUCUGCUCCUGCAUCGAAAGUGAUCGUGGGCUGUGGUGCCCUGGUCAUUGAUACUGCAGGGAGAGGAGUCGCUGAAAGCCGUUUCCCCGUGUUUGAAGGGUUCAGCCAUCCCUUCCAAACCCUGGAGCUUUCACACACUAGCUUUUGUCUUCUGCCAUUCCUUUCAAAGCUCAGGCCUUCCUGGCCCGCAUGUGAUAUGGUGACCAGGCUAGCCCCCCACUAGUGGGGUUCACUUUGUCUUUGGAGCUGAGGAGGCACUUGACAGGAACUCCAGUCUAUACAUUUAUAUUUGGACCUCACCUGGAAAAAAUCUAGGUGGUGCUGACGGGCACGGGGGAGAACUGUAAAUUGAGUUCUGCUCUAUGAAUUUACACGAGUGGAGGGAGGGUAGUCCAUAAAAAUACAUUAUUCAUUGUAGCCCCUGACUUAUAGGCUCUUUGGUGUGUUGUCUCUGCUCCUUUACUCUUCCUGGAACACAAUGUGUGCUCCAGCAGUCAGUGAUGUCAAGUAUAUGGAGAAAGGAAAAUAAAGAUGGGAGCCAGAUGUAGGGGCAAAGAGGGGUUCUAUCAAUUCUGAAUCAGUAAAAAAGUUUCUAUUUGUCACCAUCUCCCAAAAACCUGAGGAGUCUUGUCAGGCACUGAGAAGAGGGUGUUGACUGGCCAAGUGUAGCCCUCCUUGUAAUCUGUGCUUUUGUAGGUUCUCUUUUUAAAGGGUGACCCCAGAGUUUCACUAGAGAAGAAACUCCCAGGCCUGUGGUUCUGAGGCUCCCUAGCUUUCUGGUUCACAUCAGUGGGUGUAUUAGAUGGCUGGCGGAGUCCCCAGCCAUGUCGUCAGCCCUCAGCAGGGGGCUGACCUGCCUUUCUAUGCUACAGAUGUGUUGGUGGAAGGCUGAAACUCUGCAAUGGUGCUUUCAUUACUCGGUGACCCUGAAGAGGCAACACGGCGCCCCCUAGAGGCAUGACUGGCUCCCAGGUAACAGGUGACAUCUAGUUUGGCUGUGUAAACUGGGAGCUUGGGCCUGUUCCAUUGGGAUCCUCUGAGCUGUUACUUGAAGAUGGUGCUGGAAAGUAAUGCUUGUGGGCUGCUUCUAGAUUCAUCCACUGUGUGCACAGCAGCGGGACAGAAUGGAGAGGGAGGUCCCCACACGAAGCCUCACCAGGGCUCGCUGCCCUCUGCGCCGAGUCAUGGGAGAACCCUUCCCUCAGCACAGAGAUGAGGGGAAGCCCUGGGACUGGCAUCUCUUGAGUCCCGACACUGCCCUGGUUGGGGGGUGGGGGAGCUGUGGACAGGGAAGGCUGGCCCUGAGCCUCAAUGCUGCGCCUGGAUGACUUCAGCAACCAGGAGUUUUUCUCUUGAGUUGGCAGCUGCUUGUCAAUCUGCUCUCCACCCAUCCAUUCAAUAAACUGUACACAG
ensembl:lncRNA